UACGUAGGGCGCAAGCGUUAUCCGGAAUUAUUGGGCGUAAAGAGCUCGUAGGCGGUUUGUCGCGUCUGCCGUGAAAGUCCGGGGCUCAACUCCGGAUCUGCGGUGGGUACGGGCAGACUAGAGUGAUGUAGGGGAGACUGGAAUUCCUGGUGUAGCGGUGAAAUGCGCAGAUAUCAGGAGGAACACCGAUGGCGAAGGCGGCUUGCUGGGCUUGGUCUGACGCUGAGGCGCGAAAGCGUGGGGAGCGAACAGG
rnacentral:rRNA from 1 species